rnacentral:lncRNA from 1 species
CUCCACUCCCCCCCAAGUUGAGCUGUUACCAAUGGAGUCUGUCAGUCUAGACUGUAGGUCUUAACUCUUCUGAUCCUCCUGCUUCCCCUCAUCCCUGGGAUGGCCAUUUAGUGAGGAAUGCAUAGGACCAUAUAAAUUUGGUAUCUGAAUGCUACAUGGCUCUUCCCUGGAGAAGUGAGUGAGUCGAAUCCUCAGCACUAAAAAGAUGGAAGCUAUGUUGGAGGCCUUGGAACCCUGAGAGCAAUUCUGGAUUAUCUAAUAAGGAAAUUAUGGCCCAUAAAU